rnacentral:misc_RNA from 1 species
GAUGAAGAACGUAGCAAAAUGCGAUACUUGGUGUGAAUUGCAGAAUCCCGUGAACCAUCGAGUUUUUGAACGCAAGUUGCGCCCGAAGCCUUUUGGCCGAGGGCACGUCUGCCUGGGCGUCACGCAUCGCGUCGCCCCCCACAAUUCUCCGUAAAAGGAACAUGUGUUUUGGGGGCGGAUAUUGGUCUCCCGUGCUCAUGGCGUGGUUGGCCGAAAUAGGAGUCCUUUCGAUGGACGCACGAACUAGUGGUGGUCGUAAAAACCCUCGUCUUUUGUUUCGUGCUGUUGCUCGCAAGGUAAACUCUUUAAAAACCCCAAUGUGUCGUCUCUUGACGACGCUUCGACCGCGACCCCAGGUCGGGCGGGACUACCCGCUGAGUUUAAGCAUAUCAAUAAGCGGAGGA